CGAGAGGUUGUGCGGGUGAGCACCUCGCCAACCCGGUCAGGUCCGGAAGGAAGCAGCCGUAACGAGUUCUGCUCAGGCCGCGUGCCAGCCUCUCACUU
rnacentral:SRP_RNA from 1 species